rnacentral:rRNA from 1 species
CAGUAGCCGCGGUAAUACCAGCAGCCCUAGUGGUGGUCGCGAUUAUUGGGCCUAAAGCGCUCGUAGCCGGGCCGGUAAGUCCCUUGUGAAAUCGGACGGCCUAACCGUUCGGCGUGCAAGGGAUACUGUCGGUCUUGAGGCCGGGAGACGUCCGAGGUACUCCGGGGGUAGCGGUGAAAUGUUCUGAUCCUCGGGGGACCACCGGUGGCGAAGGCGUUCGACGAGAACGGGCCUGACGGUGAGGGGCGAAGGCUAGGGGAGCAAACGGGAUUAGAUACCCCCGUAGUCCCUGUCUCUUAUA